AGUGCGACGGAAUGACUGGCGAGUGGAAAACGGCUAACGUUAUUUUGACAUACUAAGGGUGUUUUGGCUGACUGAGAUGCGUGAAAAGAUUAUCAGAGACGGACCAGGAAACACUUGUUUUUGGACGACUCGACUAUAGCCUGAAGUUAAAGAAGAACACAAAAGCCUUACACACAUGCCAUCGAGGGUCAGUUUGGAGGGAUUUGGGACAGAGGCUCCUUGGUGGCCAUCAUCCCAUGGGACAGAGAAAAGUAUGCUGCUCUGAUCAAAUCAUUAAUGGACAAGGACUGCCGAUACCUAGUGGACAUUUUGCUCUACAACCCAGAAUUAUACUAAGGAAAGACCUGUGAUAUAGAGUUGCUGCAGUCCAUGGGCGUCCUGACAUGGAGAGAAGGCUCAUCACUGCAAAGACCAAUUAAGGAAUAUUUCAUCAACCAAUUAUGACUCUUAUUUCGGUUUCACAUUUUGCAAUUGGUUGAGAUGGUUCUAUAGGGGAGGAUUAGUGUCAUGCUGUAACUUGAACUGGGUGAUUCAUUUUUCUCAUGCUGGAAUAGAGAAAUACAUUUUUUUAAAUUAAUAAACUCAUGUUCUUUACUCAUCAGUAAACUUAGUAUUUUAAAAGUCACACAUUUCCAGUCUUAAUUAAUAUAUCUGAUCCAGGAUUUAGUUUUUGAUUAGGGGAAAAAGUAAUUGUAAAAACUGUUUAUAAAUAUGUUUACCUAAAUUGAUCAGUAGUACAAUAUACUGUA